rnacentral:rRNA from 1 species
AGAGUUUGAUCCUGGCUCAGAACGAACGCUGGCGGCAGGCUUAACACAUGCAAGUCGAACGCGUCCUUCGGGACGAGUGGCGCACGAGUGAGUAACGCGUGGGAACCUGUCUUUGAGUGGGGAAUAACCUUGGGAAACCGAGGCUAAUACCGCAUACGCCCUAUGGUUGUAGUGACCGCAGGGGAAAGAUUUAUCGCUCAAAGAGGGGCUCGCGUCAGAUUAGGUUGUUGGUGGGGUAAAGGCCUACCAAGCCUCCGAUCUGUAGCCGGUCUGAGAGGAUGAUCGGCCACACUGGAACUGAGACACGGUCCAGACUCCUACGGGAGGCAGCAGUGGGGAAUCUUGGACAAUGGGCGCAAGCCUGAUCCAGCCAUGCCGCGUGAGUGAAGAAGGCCUUCGGGUUGUAAAGCUCUUUCAGCGGAGACGAUGAUGACGGUAUCCGCAGAAGAAGCCCCGGCUAACUUCGUGCCAGCAGCCGCGGUAAUACGAAGGGGGCUAGCGUUGUUCGGAAUCACUGGGCGUAAAGGGCGCGUAGGCGGCGUUACAAGUGAGGGGUGAAAUGCCUAGGCUUAACCUAGGGAUUGCCUUUCAAACUGUGGUGCUUGAGUAUGGGAGAGGGUGAUGGAAUUCCCAGUGGAGAGGUGGAAUUCGUAGAGAUUGGGAAGAACACCGGUGGCGAAGGCGGCCGCCUGGCUCGCAACUGACGCUGAGGCGCGAAAGCGUGGGUAGCAAACAGGAUUAGAUACCCUGGUAGUCCACGCUGUAAACGAUGUGCACUAGGUGUUGGGGUGAUAUACCUCAUUACCGGAGCUAACGCGGUAAGUGCACCGCCUGGGGAGUAUGCCGGCAACGGUG